rnacentral:rRNA from 1 species
AACGAUGUCUACUUGGAGGUUGUGCCCUUGAGGCGUGGCUUCCGGAGCUAACGCGUUAAGUAGACCGCCUGGGGAGUACGGCCGCAAGGUUAAAACUCAAAUGAAUUGACGGGGGCCCGCACAAGCGGUGGAGCAUGUGGUUUAAUUCGAUGCAACGCGAAGAACCUUACCUGGUCUUGACAUCCACGGAAGUUUUCAGAGAUGAGAAUGUGCCUUCGGGAACCGUGAGACAGGUGCUGCAUGGCUGUCGUCAGCUCGUGUUGUGAAAUGUUGGGUUAAGUCCCGCAACGAGCGCAACCCUUAUCCUUUGUUGCCAGCGGUUAGGCCGGGAACUCAAAGGAGACUGCCAGUGAUAAACUGGAGGAAGGUGGGGAUGACGUCAAGUCAUCAUGGCCCUUACGACCAGGGCUACACACGUGCUACAAUGGCGCAUACAAAGAGAAGCGACCUCGCGAGAGCAAGCGGACCUCAUAAAGUGCGUCGUAGUCCGGAUUGGAGUCUGCAACUCGACUCCAUGAAGUCGGAAUCGCUAGUAAUCGUGGAUCAGAAUGCCACGGUGAAUACGUUCCCGGGCCUUGUACACACCGCCCGUCACACCAUGGGAGUGGGUUGCAAAAGAAGUAGGUAGCUUAACCUUCGGGAGGGCGCUUACCACUUUGUGAUUCAUGACUGGGGUGAAGUCGUAACAAGGUAACCGUAGGGGAACCUGC